rnacentral:lncRNA from 1 species
UUAGGGAGCCCGGCAAGAAGAAGGAUUCAAGUCCCACUGAUAAACCUCUCCUUGACAAGAAGAAGGAUUCAGGUCCCACUGAUAAACCUCUCCUUGACAACAAGAAGGAUUCAGGUGGUCCUACUGAUAAACCUCUCCUUGACAAGAAGAAGGAUUCAGGUGGUCCUACUGAUAAACCUCUUCUUGACAACAAGAAGGAUUCAGGUCCCACUGAUAAACCUCUGCUUGACAAGAAGAAGGAUUCAAGUCCCACUGAUAAACCUCUCCUUGACAACAAGAAGGAUUCAGGUGGUCCUACUGAUAAACCUCUCCUUGACAACAAGAAGGAUUCAGGUCCCACUGAUAAACCUCUGCUUGACAAGAAGAAGGAUUCAGGUCCCACAGAUAACACUCUGCUUGAUGAUCCGAAAUUUCGCGAGUGUGUGCAACUUUAUGCAAGGGUAUUAUGAUAGUUCAUGUUGCAACACAAGCAUCAUAUAACUUUGUUGCCACACAACUUGCAUCAUUUAAGAAGGAAAAUAACAUUGAAAAAACAUCAAGGCUGGGGUAAAAUGACUGGAAAUUUAUCUGCUUUUGUUUGUCACCGUCUUUUCUUUUCUUACAUGCGACAUCUGCCAUCCUGCAACUUUUGGUCUCAUAUAAGAACUGCAUAACUCAUGGAUGAUAAAUUCCAGCAUAUCUCGAUGUCGAUUACUAGGAAUUGACUAGCAUAAAACCCACAUUAUGGGAGCGCC